GUGAAUCAUCGGAUCUUUGAACGCAAAUUGCACUCUCUUCGGUGAGUAUGCCUGUUUGAGGGUCAGCCUAAAAAAAAAAUCGACAUAUUCGCUGUUUCGCGGUGUCAUUCCUCUAAAAUUGGUGGAUCUUAACCCUUAAGGUUUUAACCGGCUUAAAAUUUUCUUUACUAUUCCACGAACGUUUCUAUGAUUUACUUCUAAUAUGUUUAAG
rnacentral:misc_RNA from 1 species